rnacentral:rRNA from 1 species
UAGGGAAUCUUCGGCAAUGGACGAAAGUCUGACCGAGCAACGCCGCGCGAGUGAAGAAGGUUUUCGGAUCGUAAAACUCUGUUGGUAGAGAAGAACGUUGGUGAGAGUGGAAAGCUCAUCAAGUGACGGUAACUACCCAGAAAGGGAUGGCUAACUACGUGCCUG